AAAAUAUUAUUAUUUCUCAUCUUUUUGCACUCAUGGGCUAAGAGCUUCUCAAACCCCAAGGGCUCUGCUCACAAUCACCAAACGAAGGAAAAAGCAGCUGGAAAUGCAGCCCGGAGAUGUGUUCCCAGGAGUUGAGACUCUGGCUCCCGUAGAUUGCACCUCACACACGCACACCCUGUCUGUCUGUGUGCAUUUAGAGCACGUUCUCAAGAUCGAGUCUGAUUCUCACAACGACCCCAAGUAACCACAAUGACAAGUGUGAUGAGUUUCCCACAGUUCACAGAACAAGAUGGGAAGAAUGGUCCAGAAUCAUCCCACAGAGUCAGGAGCACCAGUAGAUUCUUGAGAGAGCAGCCAGUAAUGGGCCAGCAUCAAAGAAGCUGAUGAGGGACUUUUUGCACCCCCACACCUAAAGCAAGAAGAUAUUGAGGGCCCAGACUAAUUACUUCUUUAUUCUAUUCUGGGAUGUCUUCAGAAAUCCUUUCUUCGUGAUGUGCAAUGGAUGCUAUCAUUUCAGUCACCAUGAUGUCGAAGUGGGAAUCGAUAUUUGAGGGGAGGGAAAUAUCCCAACCCUGACCAUCUACUGAACAAUGACUCACCAAUAGCUGCACAACAGUCAGGACAGAGCACAUGUCCGGAAAAUUUCAUUUUAAUUUGCCUCAGCUGGGACUACAGUUACUGUUUGAAAGAAAGAACAAUCAACAAAGUACCUAGGAAAGAAGACAUCUUGCAACACUCUUCAAUUUCUUCUUAAAUGCUUGGGGGAAACGUGAAAAAUUUUGAUAAAUAGGAAAACAAAAUUGUUGGCAAUAAAAUUAAUAAACAGCUUAUAUUUU
rnacentral:lncRNA from 1 species